GCGGCAGGCCUAACACAUGCAAGUCGAGCGGACAUAUGAGUAUCUUGCCCGCAGACGGGUGAGUAACACGUGGAAACGUACCUUUUGGUUCUGAACUGCUGACGGAAACUUCAGCUAAUACCGGAUAACCCCUUACGGAGAAAGAUUUAUCCCCGAAAGAUCGGCCCGCGUCUGAUUAGCUAGUUGGUGAGGUAAUGGCUCACCAAGGCGAUUAUCAGUAGCUGGUCUGAAAGGAUGAUCAACCACAUUGGGACUGACACACCUGCCAAACUCCUACGGGACGCUGGACUGGGGAAUAUUGGACAAUGGGCGCAGGCCUGAUCCAUCCAUGAAUCUUGACUGAGGACGGCCCUCUGGUUGUACAGCUCUUUUGUGCUGAAAAAUAAUGACGGAUCCGCAAGAAUCUGUCCCGGGUAAGAUCAUGUACCCUUCCGCUGUGGUGGUACCGGGACUGUCCUUGCUCAGAAUCCCUGGGCUUACUAGGUGCCAACGCCCGUCUUUAUAUCAGGUGUGCAAUCGUUGUCCUCAACUCCUGAACUGCCUUGGAU
rnacentral:rRNA from 1 species